GCUGUUGUCGUCUAGCGGUCUAGGAUUCCGGGCUUUCAACUCGGCAGACGUGGGUUCGAAUCCCAUCAACAGCUCCA
rnacentral:tRNA from 1 species